GAGAAACUGACAGAAGAGAGUGAGCACACGCUUCUGGUGAUUGUAUGAGGGCAUACAAUUGCGGGUGCGUGCUCACUUCUCUUUCUGUCAGGUUCUC
rnacentral:pre_miRNA from 1 species